rnacentral:rRNA from 1 species
GAUGAACGCUGGCGGCGUGCCUAAUACAUGCAAGUCGAGCGAAUGGAUUAAGAGCUUGCUCUUAUGAAGUUAGCGGCGGACGGGUGAGUAACACGUGGGUAACCUGCCCAUAAGACUGGGUUAACUCCGGGAAACCGGGGCUAAUACCGGAUAACAUUUUGAACCGCAUGGUUCGAAAUUGAAAGGCGGCUUCGGCUGUCACUUAUGGAUGGACCCGCGUCGCAUUAGCUAGUUGGUGAGGUAACGGCUCACCAAGGCAACGAGGCGUAGCCGACCUGGGAGGGUCAUCGGCCACACUGGUGCUGGGAAACGGCCCAGACUCCUAGAGGGUGCAGCAGGAGGGAAUCUUCCGCAAUGGACGAAAGUCUGACGGAGCAACGCCGCGUGAGUGAUGAAGGCUUUCGGGUCGUAAAACUCUGUUGUUAGGGAAGAACAAGUGCUAGUUGAAUAAGCUGGCACCUUGACGGUACCUAACCAGAAAGCCACGGCUAACUACGUGCCAGCCGCCGCAGUAA